rnacentral:rRNA from 1 species
GAUCAUGGCUCAGAACGAACGCUGGCGGCAGGCCUAACACAUGCAAGUCGAGCGCGCCCUUCGGGGUGAGCGGCGGACGGGUUAGUAACGCGUGGGAACGUACCCUUUGGUAGGGAAUAGCCACUGGAAACGGUGAGUAAUACCCUAUGAGCCCUUCGGGGGAAAGAUUUAUCGCCAAAGGAUCGGCCCGCGUUAGAUUAGGUAGUUGGUGGGGUAAUGGCCUACCAAGCCUACGAUCUAUAGCUGGUUUUAGAGGAUGAUCAGCAACACUGGGACUGAGACACGGCCCAGACUCCUACGGGAGGCAGCAGUGGGGAAUCUUGGACAAUGGGGGCAACCCUGAUCCCAGCCAUGCCGCGUGAGUGAAGAAGGCCUUAGGGUCGUAAAGCUCUUUCGCCUGUGAAGAUAAUGACGGUAGCAGGUAAAGAAACCCCGGCUAACUCCGUGCCAGCAGCAGC